AAAAAGGGUACUUGUUACUGGAUAGCACAUGAGCUCUUAUGGGCUUGUGGGGUAUGGUAAUCAAGACAUACCCAGCUAGUCCA